UACGGAGGAUCCGAGCGUUAUCCGGAUUUAUUGGGUUUAAAGGGUGCGCAGGCGGGAGAUUAAGUCGGCGGUGAAAUUUUGCAGCUCAACUGUAAAAGUGCCAUUGAUACUGGUUUCCUUGAGUGUGGAUGAAGUAGGCGGAAUUUGUGGUGUAGCGGUGAAAUGCAUAGAUAUCACGAGGAACUCCGAUUGCGCAGGCAGCUUACUAAACCAUAACUGACGCUCAGGCACGAAGGCGUGGGGAUCAAACAGGAUUAGAUACCCCGGUA
rnacentral:rRNA from 1 species